CCCUGCCAAUAUUGCGAUACAGAGAAAGGGAAAAAAGGGCUUACAAUACUCCCAAAAAACACUUGCGUUACUGAGAACAGAGAAGGAGAGAGAGAUCGAGAGAUCAAAAACUGAAACCCAAAACAUCAGACACCAAUCAAGAUGAAGAAGAGCCAUACAGUCUCUUCUAAUAUCCCCAAACUCUCUCUCUCUCUCUUCUCACGAACCCUAAUCUUUUUCUUCAAGAAUAUUCAAUCCCUUCAAUCCAGGCUACAGUAAGUUGCGGAGAUAAGUAGAGAAUCUGUCAUGUAGCCAGAACCACUACAGAGAGCAAAGAGUAGGGUGGCAAUGAGACAUGAGAGAAUUAGAAGUGUUACCAACAAAGGAUGCAAUUUCAACAUGAUUGGUAGACCCAAUGCGGCUGGCUAAUCUUCUUUGCAGGAUAGCCUUUAUUGUCUACAACAAUCUGUCAUUAACACAGCUUAUAAACCUGCUGAAGAUGGAAAAUGAGAAGAUGAUAGCAUGCUUAUUCAAAUGCUUCGCAAACGAAACAAUGCUACUAAACAAAAUGCAUCAAAGAAGAAGAAAAAUUGAAGGAGGAAAAAUAGCAACUACAGAAUUCAAUUUAAUUUUCAGUUUUUGUUUUUCCUCCUACCUGGUGGGUGAAUUUUUAAUAAUAAAACAAUGAAUGUGAUUGCUAUUAAGUUGACAGGUUUUUAGUGGUAUCAUCUUAAUAUCUUUUGGUUAAUUUUUUGUUUAUAGUUUGUGAAAUUUCUAUUGCUAUGACAGCCUUGCAGCUAUUCUUUGAUGAUAACUUCAUAUUAUCCAACCAACUGAUGUGAAUGCUCUUA